GUGCUUACUUCAGCAGUGCGUGCACUAAAAUAGAAAUGACACAGAGAAGAUUAGCAUGGCCCCUGAGCAAGGAUGACAGGCAGAUUCGUGAAGCGUUCCAUAUUUUU
rnacentral:snRNA from 1 species